rnacentral:rRNA from 1 species
GACGAACGCUGGCGGCGUGCUUAACACAUGCAAGUCGAACGGAAAGGCCUUGCUUUUGUGGGGUGUUCGUGUGGCGAACGGGUGAGUAACUAGUGCGUAACCUGCCUUCGAUUCUGGGAUAACUUACGGAAACUGGGGCUAAUUACGGCUAGGUGCUCCUGCUGCAUGGCGGGGGUUGGAGAGUUUCGGCGGCUGGGGAUGGAGUCGCGGCUUAUCAGCUUGUUGGUGGGGUAGUGGCGUACCAAGGCUUUGUCGGGUAGCCGGACUGAGAGGGUGACUCGGCCCAGUGGGACAGAGGUGCGGGCCGGAGUCCUACUGGCGGCAUCAGUGGGAAAUAGUGCGAGAUGGGCCGAAGCCUGAUUCAGCAACGCCGCGUGCGAAAUGACGGCCUUCGGGGUGGAAACCGCUUUCGCCGAUGACGAAGCGUGAGUGACGGUAAUGGAAAAGAAAGCACCGGCUAACUACGUG